UACGGGGGGGGCAAGCGUUGUUCGGAAUUACUGGGCGUAAAGGGUUUGUAGGUGGCCGGCUAAGUCAGACGUGAAAUCCCUCAGCUUAACUGGGGAACUGCGUCUGAAACUGAUCGGCUCGAGUGCAGGAGAGGAACGCGGAAUUCCAGGUGUAGCGGUGAAAUGCGUAGAUAUCUGGAGGAACACCGGUGGCGAAGGCGGGUUGCUGGGCUGACACUGACGCUGAAGCGCGAAAGCUAGGGGAGCGAACGGG
rnacentral:rRNA from 1 species